AAUGGAUUUCACUAUAAUCACACAAGAUUACAAUUGCUCAAGCACACAAGCAAGAGACUUCACCACAAUGCUUAAGCACACAAGCUUAAGACUUCUCAAACUAACAGAGUAAAUAAAAUUUGUUGAUUGUAAUACAACUGCUCUUAAGAGAACCUUAAAGAUCAAAUACAAUGAGUAUAUAAAACUACAAAGUAUUUGGACUACGAGUUAAAAACACUAGUUCAGAGGUUCAGAGCUUGUAUUCGCAAAUAUGAAAUUGUUCGAGCGCGUGUGUAAUACUUGAUAUCUUGCAAACUGAUUCUUCUAGUAUAUAUAGGACUAAGAAAGAGUCGUUGCAAAGAUGACCGUUGAUGAAGAUAACCUUUUGUCUUCAAGCAACUUGUCUUGAUGUAGAU
rnacentral:lncRNA from 1 species